GCCGCCAUGGUGAAAUC
rnacentral:tRNA from 2 species